rnacentral:rRNA from 1 species
UGCCAGACUCCUACGGGAGGCAGCAGUGAGGAAUAUUGGUCAAUGGGCGCGAGCCUGAACCAGCCAAGUCGCGUGAGGGAUGACGGCCCUACGGGUUGUAAACCUCUUUUGUCGGGGAGCAAAUUCCGUUACGUGUAACGGAGUCGAGAGUACCCGAAGAAAAAGCAUCGGCUAACUCCGUGCCAGCAGCCGCGGUAAUACGGAGGAUGCGAGCGUUAUCCGGAUUUAUUGGGUUUAAAGGGUGCGUAGGCGGACUGACAAGUCAGGGGAAAAAGACGGGGGCUAAACCUGCGUCCGCCGUUGAAACUGGCGUUCUUGAGUGGGCGAGAAGUACGCGGAAUGCGUGGUGUAGCGGUGAAAUGCAUAGAUAUCACGCAGAACCCCGAUUGCGAAGGCAGCGUACCGGCGCCCGACUGACGCUGAAGCACGAAAGCGUGGGUAUCGAACAGGAUUAGAUACCCGAGUA